ACUCUAUUAUGAUCUAUGAAAAUUUAAACUUAAAAUCUCAUCCAAGACUACUUAUUAAUCAUCACCCUCCACAUGCGUAAGGCAAAUCCAUAAAUUAUCAGCCUCUCACAUAUAAAUGAUAGUGACACAAAAGUAAAGAUGAGAGGCACACACCUACCCAACUCCCUAUAUUUCAUUGACCUGACCGUAUCAGAAAUUUGUGUUGGUUAUUUGUUUUUCUCCCCUUCUUUUGUUUUUUUACUACAGGAUAGAUGGUGGUGUUGGGAUUCGAUAACGGAGGCUAGGUCUAUAAGGGUAAAGUAUAGGAGGGAGUAAAGGUUGUAACAGUGAGGGUGAUGAAGCACAACCAAUGGUCAUGCUUCAAACAAGGUGAGAUGAAAGCUAGCAUAAGCUUCUGAUUAUGGCCAAGUUUAAAACUGUUUUUCUUCUUAUUUUCCAAAGAUUUAACAACUACAAAUUUAAACUAUUUUUCUGGUUCAUUUUUUUUAAAAUAUUCGGGUUUGUUACCUAUAUAUUCAAUGUAUGUUAGAACUUAGAACAUGAAUACAAACAACCAAUAUCCAACAUAUACCAGCAGCAUUUGACCCUCACAUCUGAACACAAGUAACAUAACAAUAGCAACUAAAAUGAUUAGGACAACAUAUCAACAACGAUGCUGAACUGGUCUUACAGAUCAUAGCUUUUUCGCUUCAACUGGUUUUUAACUGCUUCAACAUUUAUAUUAUUUUUUUAUACCAGUAUUACGCCAUAAUAAAGGAAAACCUGGAGAAAAUCUAAGAAAGGAUUAAAUUUCUGUGAGCGUUGUCACAAUCCAAGUUCCUUAUGCAAUAAAAUUGAGGCAAACAGAUUAAAGUUUUAUCUACAAACAUUAACACUGAAAUUGAUGCCUUGAAAUAAGUAGGGAAAAAUAUUAUCUUUAGGGACUUCUGAAUAAACAAUUCAAGUACAACAUAAUAAAUGCGAGCAACACGAAUCAACUUGUUGUCUUACAAUGCUAGUAGAAUGACUAAAACAGUUACCCAUAGUUUGAUUACUAACCUACCAGACCACCAUAGCCACUUACUGGAGAAAAGGGCUGUCAUAUUAUUGAAGUGGCUCCUGGUGAGCAGCUGUUGCAGGUCCCGGUGCUAUAGUGAACAGACCACGACGUUGUCCGGCUUGUAUCAUAAAUGCAACUUCAG